rnacentral:rRNA from 1 species
GACGUAGGUGGCGAGCGUUGUUCGGAAUUACUGGGCAUAAAGCGCACGUAGGCGGCUGAGUAAGUCGGAUGUGAAAUACCUCGGCUCAACCGAGGAACUGCGUCCGAUACUGCUCGGCUUGAGGUCCGGAGGGGAGAGUGGAAUUCCCGGUGGAGCGGUGAAAUGCGUAGAGAUCGGGAAGAACGCCGGCGGCGAAAGCGACUCUCUGGUCGGAAUCUGACGCUGAGGUGCGAAAGCUAGGGGAGCAAACGGG